GUGGUUGAAUGAGUCUCAGAAAAUACCUUAAAAAAAGGAAACAUGUAAUUAGUUAGCCUAAAAGACCAAAGAGUACUUUCAAGCUCAGAUAUAUCUUCAUGUUCAGACAUUUCAUGUUAAGACAGUCAAGUUCUUUUCAAGCUCAGAGAUUUCAAGUUCAGACAUUUCAAGUUAGACAUUCAAGUUCUUUCACGCUCAGACAUAUCUUCAAGUUCAGACAUUCAAGCUCAGAGAUUUCAAGUUCAGACAUUUCAUGUUAAGACAGUUGAUUUCUUUUCAAGCUCAGACAUUUCAAUUUCAGACAUUCAAGUUCUUUCAAGCUCAGACAUAUCAUCUCUCAAGCAAGAAGACGAAAGAGUAAAUCGCUAGGAAGCUGAUUCCAAGACCACACUCUAGAUGUAUGCAGGAGGUACAUCGGAGCAUUUUACCAUGCAAAUUUCAACAAUAACCCCCAAAAAUAUUACACUCAGAUUUCAACAACGAGACGGAGAAACUAAUCGAACAAGAUCUAAGAGCAGAACAGAGAAAAAUAUAGAGAGGGUUUGAGAUUUUGCGGCAAACCUGCAAGCAGCUAGAAGGAACUUUUCAGGGAGGGUUUCUCGCACAGAGAGCAAAAGGGACUACCAGUAAGAGUUGCCAAGAGAAGAUGCAUGGAGGGAGGGGGGAGGUUUAUGUUAAAAAGCUAAAACGCCGGCGUUUAUUUGUGGCCCAUAAUAAUUGUAUAUUAGUACGAGGUCUAUAGCCCAAUAACAUCUUAGUUAGCCCGUUAAAUAUAUGGGUUCGACAAUGACCCAAGUCACAACUUUGCUUGAAUGUUUGAAGAGAAUCACCGAGAGCUGAGAAACCAGCAUAAGCUAAUCUUCUUCAUCGGGUAACAUAUUAGUUUGCAGUUACUUCAAUAUAUGCAUAGGAAUGUUGCCUAAUGAAUGCAAAUAAUGUUGCAAGUUUGGUAGAUGAAGUUAAAAUACAAGUUAAAGGAAUCACUUGGACUCGUUAAGCAAUGUGUUCAUGCUGCUGAACUAGUUGGCCUUUCAAAAAAAAAAGCAAGAGAGAGAGAGAGAGAGAGAGAAACAGUUUUCUCUCGAGCGUCUCUCCCACCAACACCUUCAAACCCUAAUUCUCAGAAAUCAAUUCUUGUUUGAGGGGAUCGUGGGCUUCUGUCGCCUCCAGUCUCCUCCCCCAUCUGUGUUUGCUCUUCUUAGCCACUAUCACCGACCCAUCAACCGCCAUUAAACCUUCUUUGUCGUGUACUCUGGAUCUCUGCUUUGGUGGAUCUAAUCGGAAGCUAGAGGCGUGUGUCUCUCUUCUCUGGAAUACAGACGAGGGUGUAAUGUGUGGCGUGAUACUCGGUGGCCUUGAUUCUCUUUCUCCUCUGAUUGUUGGCGUAAGAUCUGGGUCAGAUCUUAAUUCAAGUUUGGUGAUUUUUCGGGAGUGUAGCUACCUCUCUUCUCAUCGCCGCCUUGCCUUCCAACAGUUCAAGGGUCUUGCAGCUUCAAGGUUCAAUAGAGCCUCUCCUCUGGAAUUUGUUUUCUGAGAGCGGCGGAGCCGUGGUUCUCCGCUGAGAGCCUCUUCUCUUAGCCUCAAGUGUCAGCUUCCAUGGUAUUAUCUGUUGAUGCUCUGUUUCUCUCCAUUGUGUUUUGAUGGUUGAUGCUCAGGGUCCUUGAGGACAGACCCAAUGUGUCUCUAAAAGUCACGUUGGAAGAGACUUGCUUUUGAUGGAUUUCACCUGUUUUUGAGAAGUUGUAUGGCUUCUCCUGAUCUUCAACUCCGUCUACAAGCUCCGGUUUGUUCCUCUUUCGAGUGUGAGCUUCCCGAGAAGCUUCUGGUUUUGGUUUCAACAGAGCACCUCAGCCUGCACUGGAGUGGAAUGCUUGGCCCUCCGUCGUCGCGGCCGAGAGAAUCUGUGGAGUCUUCCUAAGCCUGCACCGGAGUGGUAGCUGUCCCUCCGUCGUCGCGGCAAAGAAACUCUUUGGAUUUCCUCUACGUAAACCAACUCUGUAUAGCCUUCUCCUCGUCACCUUCCUUGGUACUUGGAAGCGCUUGUAAGGAAUCUUUGCUGAUGUUUGUUGCUAAACUGUUAGGUCAAAGUCUUGUUCUCUUGAUCAAACUUGAUCUUAAUUAGAUGUUUAGGGCUUUUUAUUUUUUUGCGGCUCUUUUCAUCUGAAUGGUUUAGUUGCAGAUGUUGAUUGCAAAUCCUUGUAAUCAGACCUUCAUUAUCUUGUUAAUGAUAUUUACCCUUUAACAAAAAAAAAACUAGUUGGCCUUCACAA